rnacentral:rRNA from 1 species
AUUGCCCUAGUAACGGCGAGUGAAGCGGCAACAGCUCAAAUUUGAAAUCUGGCGUCUUUGGCGUCCGAGUUGUAAUUUGCAGAGGGCGCUUUGGCAUUGGCAGCGGUCCAAGUUCCUUGGAACAGGACGUCACAGAGGGUGAGAAUCCCGUACGUGGUCGCUAGCCUUUACCGUGUAAAGCCCCUUCGACGAGUCGAGUUGUUUGGGAAUGCAGCUCUAAAUGGGAGGUAAAUUUCUUCUAAAGCUAAAUACUGGCCAGAGACCGAUAGCGCACAAGUAGAGUGAUCGAAAGAUGAAAAGCACUUUGGAAAGAGAGUUAAAAAGCACGUGAAAUUGUUGAAAGGGAAGCGCUUGCAGCCAGACUUGCCUGUAGUUGCUCAUCCGGGUUUUUACCCGGUGCACUCUUCUAUAGGCAGGCCAGCAUCAGUUUGGGCGGUUGGAUAAAGGUCUCUGUCAUGUACCUCUCUUCGGGGAGAACUUAUAGGGGAGACGACAUGCAACCAGCCUGGACUGAGGUCCGCGCAUCUGCUAGGAUGCUGGCGUAAUGGCUGUAAGCGGCCCGUCUUGAAACACGGACCAAGGAGUCUAACAUCUAUGCGAGUGUUUGGGUGUCAAGCCCGAGCGCGUAAUGAAAGUGAACGGAGGUGGGAACCUUUCGGGGUGCACCAUCGACCGAUCCUGAUGUCUUCGGAUGGAUUUGAGUAAGAGCAUAGCUGUUGGGACCCGAAAGAUGGUGAACUAUGCUUGAAUAGGGUGAAGCCAGAGGAAACUCUGGUGGAGGCUCGCAGCGGUUCUGACGUGCAAAUCGAUCGUCAAAUUUGGGCAUAGGGGCGAAAGACUAAUCGAACUAUCUAGUAGCUGGUUCCUGCCGAAGUUUCCCUCAGGAUAGCAGUAACGUUUUCAGUUUUAUGAGGUAAAGCGAAUGAUUAGAGGCCUGGGGGUUGAAACAACCUU